rnacentral:rRNA from 1 species
AGUCCGAGUUGUAAUUUGCAGAGGGCGCUUUGGCUUUGGCAGCGGUCCAAGUUCCUUGGAACAGGACGUCACAGAGGGUGAGAAUCCCGUACGUGGUCGCUAGCUAUUGCCGUGUAAAGCCCCUUCGACGAGUCGAGUUGUUUGGGAAUGCAGCUCUAAAUGGGAGGUAAAUUUCUUCUAAAGCUAAAUAUUGGCCAGAGACCGAUAGCGCACAAGUAGAGUGAUCGAAAGAUGAAAAGCACUUUGGAAAGAGAGUCAAACAGCACGUGAAAUUGUUGAAAGGGAAGCGCUUGCAGCCAGACUUGCUUGCAGUUGCUCAUCCGGGCUUUUGCCCGGUGCACUCUUCUGCAGGCAGGCCAGCAUCAGUUUGGGCGGNGGGAUAAAGGUCUCUGUCACGUACCUCUCUUCGGGGAGGCCUUAUAGGGGAGGCGACAUACCACCAGCCUGGACUGAGGUCCGCGCAUCUGCUAGGAUGCUGGCGUAAUGGCUGUAAGCGGCCCGUCUUGAAAACACGGAC